rnacentral:RNase_P_RNA from 1 species
AGUAAGCCAGAUGGCCGCGGGCGUUUUUUGCGUCCGAGGAAAGUCCGAGCUCCACAGGGCAGGGUGCUGGGUAACUCCCAGUGAAGGCGACUUCAAGGAAAGUGCAACAGAGAGAUACCGCGACCCCGCAGCAUGCGGGACGUAAGGGUGGAAAGGCGAGGUAAGAGCUCACCAGCGGCUUGGCGACUUGUCCGCUAUGUAAACCCCACCUGGUGCAAGGAAAUAGGGAGCAGCAUGUGGCGGCCCGUCACGCUCCCGGGAAAACCGCUUGAGCGCGCUGGCAACCGCGCGCCUAGAUAGAUGGCCAUCCAAUACAGAACUCGGCUUAUAGACUUGCUCGC